rnacentral:rRNA from 1 species
GACGAACGCUGGCGGCGUGCUUAACACAUGCAAGUCGAACGGAAAGGCCCUGCUUUUGUGGGGUGCUCGAGUGGCGAACGGGUGAGUAACACGUGAGUAACCUGUCCUUGACUUUGGGAUAACUUCAGGAAACUGGGGCUAAUACCGGAUAGGAUCUCCUGCCGCAUGGUGGGGGUUGGAAAGUUUCGGCGGUUGGGGCUGGACUCGCGGCUUAUCAGCUUGUUGGUGGGGUAGUGGCUUACCAAGGCUUUGACGGGUAGCCGGCCUGGGAGGGUGACCGGCCACAUUGGGACUGAGAUACGGCCCAGACUCCUACGGGAGGCAGCAGUGGGGAAUAUUGCACAAUGGGCGGAAGCCUGAUGCAGCAACGCCGCGUGCGGGAUGACGGCCUUCGGGUUGUAAACCGCUUUCGCCUGUGACGAAGCGUGAGUGACGGUAAUGGGUAAAGAAGCACCGGCUAACUACGUG